rfam:Trichobilharzia regenti genome assembly, scaffold: TRE_scaffold0023130
GUACUGCUGAAGAGUUCCAAACUAGGACGAAACAGCUGGAGGUCCAGUAC